rnacentral:rRNA from 1 species
AGUGGCGCACGGGUGAGUAACACGUGAAUUAUCUACCUCCGAGUGGGGAAUAACUGAGAGAAAUCUUAGCUAAUACCGCAUAACACUUACGAGUCAAAGCAGUAAUGCGCUUGGAGAGGAGUUCGCGGCCGAUUAGUUAGUUGGCGGGGUAAUGGCCCACCAAGACGAUGAUCGGUAUCCGGCCUGAGAGGGCGCACGGACACACUGGAACUGAAACACGGUCCAGACUCCUACGGGAGGCAGCAGUGGGGAAUUUUGCGCAAUGGGGGAAACCCUGACGCAGCAACGCCGCGUGGAGGAUGAAAUAUCUUGGUAUGUAAACUCCUUUCGAUGGGGAAGAUUAUGACGGUACCCAUAGAAGAAGCCCCGGCUAACUUCGUGCCAGCAGCCGCGGUAAUACGAGGGGGGCAAGCGUUGUUCGGAUUUAUUGGGCGUAAAGGGUGCGUAGGCGGUUUGGCAAGUCUUGUGUGAAAUCUUUGGGCUCAACCCAAAGUCUGCACAAGA